GAUGAACGCUGGCGGCGUGUCUAACACAUGCAAGUCGAGCGAUUCUCUUCGGAGAAGAGCGGCGGACGGGUGAGUAACGCGUGGGUAACCUGCCCUGUACACACGGAUAACAUACCGAAAGGUAUGCUAAUACGAGAUAAUAUGCUUUUAUCGCAUGGUAGAAGUAUCAAAGCUUUUGCGGUACAGGAUGGACCCGCGUCUGAUUAGCUAGUUGGUAAGGUAACGGCUUACCAAGGCGACGAUCAGUAGCCGACCUGAGAGGGUGAUCGGCCACAUUGGAACUGAGACACGGUCCAAACUCCUACGGGAGGCAGCAGUGGGGAAUAUUGCACAAUGGGCGAAAGCCUGAUGCAGCAACGCCGCGUGAGCGAUGAAGGCCUUCGGGUCGUAAAGCUCUGUCCUCAAGGAAGAUAAUGACGGUACUUGAGGAGGAAG
rnacentral:rRNA from 1 species